CAGGAUCGUUGAGCAAACCAUCUCUGCUAACAGGUUAUGGGCCCAGAGUUACCCAGAGAGUUUCCAUCGAGUUUUUCACCGAGAGAAAAGUCGCGACGUACCGCGUGUCCGGUACUUGGUGCCCUACGCACUCUGCGUAAUCUGCGUAUAGGGAGCCGCGUACCUGCCCCGGAAUGUGAGCCCACCUGUCUCGUGUGGCACGUGGACCUCCGGAUCAAAAAACCCAAACUCUCCCAUCAUCUCCUGGAACUCUCCAGGCCCAAGACCACCCACCCUCACUUCCAGAACAAGAGGCAGGUGGGGGCCCCGAACGCACAGCAUUGAGGGGCUGGUGGACCCUUGUCCACCAGGUCUUGGAGAAGGGGAUCUCUGAGACCUCCAGAGCACAGUCCAAGUCCCCCAGACUGGAGCACCUGUCUCUGCCCAGGCUGAGCCUCAGCCAGGUCUGCUACCAGCCAAGCCCACCCGAGGAGCCCAUCCGGACUGCAAGAGACUUGGCUUCCAUGGCAGCACAGAGGGCUAAAGCCUCCCCUCGCAUCGAGCGGCUGGCGACGCCCAAUCAACUCCCUGACGGGUACACCCCCCCUUCAUGAACAUCACUGGAGCCCAGGGCCCAGAUACCCAACCUGACCCCCCACUAGCACAAACUUAGCCCCAAGGCUACAUGUCAAGUAGCUGAUUGAUGAACCAAAAUACAGUGUUUGUUUUGCUGAGGCAAUGUUUUUAUGUCUUUUGGUUUGAUAAUUAUCCCACUGG
ensembl:lncRNA